ACGGGUGAGUAACACGUGAGUAACCUGCCCAAGACUCUGGGAUAAGCCUGGGAAACUGGGUCUAAUACUGGAUGCCGACUUUCCGCCGCAUGGUGGGGGGUUGAAAGGCUUUUGUUGGUUUUGGAUGGACUCGCGGCCUAUCAGCUUGUUGGUGGGGUAAUGGCCUACCAAGGCGACGACGGGUAGCCGGCCUGAGAGGGUGACCGGCCACACUGGGACUGAGACACGGCCCAGACUCCUACGGGAGGCAGCAGUGGGGAAUAUUGCACAAUGGGCGAAAGCCUGAUGCAGCGACGCCGCGUGAGGGAUGACGGCCUUCGGGUUGUAAACCUCUUUCAGUAGGGAACAAGGCCAGCACUUGUGUUGGUUGAGGGUACUUGCAGAAGAAGCGCCGGCUAACUACGUGCCAGCAGCCGCGGUAAUACGUAGGGCGCAAGCGUUAUCCGGAAUUAUUGGGCGUAAAGAGCUCGUAGGCGGUUUGUCGCGUCUGCCGUGAAAGUCCGGGGCUCAACCCCGGAUCUGCGGUGGGUACGGGCAGACUAGAGUGAUGUAGGGGAGACUGGAAUUCCUGGUGUAGCGGUGA
rnacentral:rRNA from 1 species